rnacentral:rRNA from 1 species
GCGGUGGAGCAUUGUGGUUUAAUUCGAAGCAACGCGAAGAACCUUACCAGGUCUUGACAUCCCGAUGCUAUUUCUAGAGAUAGAAAGUUACUUCGGUACAUCGGUGACAGGUGGUGCAUGGUUGUCGUCAGCUCGUGUCGUGAGAUGUUGGUUAAGUCCCGCAACGAGCGCAACCCCUAUUGUUAGUUGCCAUCAUUCAGUUGGGCACUCUAGCGAGACUGCCGGUAAUAAACCGGAGGAAGGUGGGGAUGACGUCAAAUCAUCAUGCCCCUUAUGACCUGGGCUACACACGUGCUACAAUGGUUGGUACAACGAGUUGCGAGUCGGUGACGGCGAGCUAAUCUCUUAAAGCCAAUCUCAGUUCGGAUUGUAGGCUGCAACUCGCCUACAUGAAGUCGGAAUCGCUAGUAAUCGCGGAUCAGCACGCCGCGGUGAAUACGUUCCCGGGCCUU